UCUCACUGAGGGCGAAUAUCCGCGCGGAUUAUUCUCGCAGAAAAAUAUUAAAGUUGAUUUCAUGGGUUCUUAUGGAAGUUUGCACACCGGGGCGGAACUUUCGUGCAGUGAAAAACGUUUCCGCCCAGACUUUGACCCCCUGUGGAAUUCGCCAGCGGAACUACAGAGCUGGGCCAAUGAAAUUGUUUGUUUAUAGUUGCGCAGACCGGGAGAGUCCGAAAUCCAGUCAGGCAGGACAGUAUGGGGGAAAGGUUGAUAACUUCACAGCACCCCGUCCUUUUUGAUAAAAGACAGGAUGAUUUUAUGAACAGUGAAUUAAAGGACAACGUCUGGCAGUCCAUUGUCCAGCUUGGUGGCUGCGGUGAGAGUGGAGGAAUUCAGGAGAAUAACUACAAUUCCCCUGGAGCAAACCUUCAUGUGCAAACUUGACCACUACACACCAAAACUUAUUACACUGAUGAAAGCCAAGGGAGGUGUCGUGGGGACCAAGAUGAGGCUGUUCCUGGACAGACUGAGUCAGAAACAGAGCAUUGGGAUGAGAUGUGAAACUGUUACCCGCAGCCUUAUACUGUACCUUGGCGAGAAAGAAGAGGAACUUUUGAAGACUGCUUGGAGGACAGCUGGAGUGAUGUCAGUCACCACAUCCUCAAAUUACUCGUCGUCCAUGGUGCUGAUGACGAUCCAGUCGAUGUAUCCAUCCUUGUUGAAGGCCUGUGACUAUUAUUGACUAGUACUGACUGUGAAAGCUUGCUCACUGCUCAUGGGACUGAUUUAUGCCCUGAACUGGCAUACCCUCCCACUUUGCGCUACACUUUUGAAGUCUUUCAAAAACUCUUGCUGGAGCUGGGUGGAGUUAAACUGUCCCCAAAAGUAAACACCUUGAAGUUGAAGUUGCUUUCCUAAAUGCAUGUCAUGACUUUGUCAUCCUAGAGGAGAAAAAUGUAACAUUAUGCUUGGACCCUUGUUGAGGAUGUAGCAUGAUUUAUUUAUUAUUUAUUUCCAGUACAACAGCUCUACCAUAAAUUCUACUUUUAUGAAGCAUCUACAUAUUGACAUUGUCAUAAAGGUGAUAAUUUGACUUUAUGUUUAUUACUGAAGUUGUGGUGGAUGGUGCUGGUCUACUGGAGUGCAUUAUA